CCCUUAACACUAAGCCCCUUUCCAUAAAUACACACAAAGCUUAAAAAAGGGGGAGCUAACCUAAAUUAAAAAGAAGAACGGCAGAAUCCCACCUUUCUAAUCUCCAAGCACUCAUCUCCCCUUUACCCGAUCUCACUGGUUUUCAACCAAAAAAGAGAAUAACGAAGGAGAGGAAUUUGAGGGAGAGUCUAAAGAGUGGGGAACGAGAUAGAAAAAGCAGAGAAUAGAAGGGAGGAACGAACAGAGAGAGACGGGAGAAACAACAGAACAGGGGAUCGGUGAAGAAGUAUGAAAAGAUGGAAAUCGGCCGCUGCUUUACCCUUCUCCUCUAUACCAUCCUUUCUUCUAGUCUAGCCGUAACCACCACAUGUACACCCUCUAGACUCCAUAGAAAUAGCACCCUUUUAACACUUGAAAUCAGGCCCAAAACCAGCUGUAUUGACCCCAUAAAUCAGCUGUAAAACCAGCCUGUCAUAGCUAAUCAAAAAUAGCUCCCCGCUUUAGCUCCGAAACACCAUUUCUCUUUACCAAUAAGUGCAGCCAUGAAACCAGAUGAAAUGCCAUUUUUAUUCCUCCUUUUCAACACCCAAAAACCAACUCAAGUACAGUCCCAAAAUUAGCAACAACGAGCUGAAAAACAGCCCAAUUACCUAACACAAAUCAACCACAAACGUGCUGAAAUCAGUGCAAAACAGUUGCAAAAAUCUGCCCGAAACAACACCUGAAUACACAAGUUCUGUUCGAGCUCGAGUUCAUCUCCGGUGGUCGAUUUCGGUCGAGAGCCGUCUCUGUAAUUUCAACUCAGUCUAUUUAUACCAAAGGUCACAUUCUCGUCCCUUUCUUCCUUUUUUUCUUUACAAAGUUCUCUUUUCUAAUUGAUAAGAUUCUUGGUAUUGUUGGUUGCAUACUGAUUUGCUUGAUAUGUUGCUUGGCAUACUGAUUUGCUUGAUGUGUUGUUUGGAUGCUAAUAUUAUAGUGGUUACUUCAAUUCUCUAUUGCAACAUUUCUUUAGAUAGUGCUGUUUGGAUUUUAGUUAUUAAGUUUGAGCUUCUAAUCUAAAAGGAUAGAAUUGAACAAGCUUGUCUUUAUUUAUUUUAUUCUAUUUUUAUUGAAAAGGACCUUGCGGUUCUAAUUGAGAAGUUUUAGUUUAGCAACUGGUUAAUGGAUUGCACCGAUGAAUAUGGCAAAUAGACUAUCUGGAUUCUUGGUUAAUAGCUACAAAAAUAUCUUUUAGCCUAUUAAUGACUUGUAAUAUAGAUAACUUUAUCAAGUAUCAUAACUACUACGUAAUACACUUAUCCCAUAGUAAUUCCAUAGACUAUGGCCUUCACAAUAAUCUCAAAAUUAAUUUUAGGAAAAUCAUGAACAUCGUAGCUCGUUUUAGGCGCGAUUAAUAAAUCAUCGUGGCUAUGGGUACGGUUCUCGUGGCAUAGUCAUGGUACAUAAAUCCAAAUUCGGGUGUGUAUUUCAUGUGACCCGACCAUAACUUCAAACAAUAAUAAUAAAAUAAACAUGCUGUGAAUCGCAGAUACGGUUCACAUGGCGCGAUUCGUAAUGUGUACAGAAUAAAUGAGUGCGCGACCUCGCAACUUGUUCCAACAAAUUCCAUAAAUAAUGAAAAGCGGUUUAAAAGGUUAAAAAUGCACAAUAGGUUUGUUUUGUACACAUUACGAAGAAUAUGUGUACAAUAGGUUAUCAGUCGAGCAUCCAGAUGGCUCCCUAUUAGGCUUUAUAUGGUAGACAAUGUCGAUCGCCGGUCGAAUGGUUUGAGCUGGGGGAGGCUCGAUUAUUGGGUACAGAUCUAGUACAGGAUGCCUUGGAUAAGGUUAAGAUCAUUCAGGAUAGACUUCGCGCAGCUCAGUCCAGGUAGAAGAGUUAUGCCGACCGUAAGGUCCGUGAUGUUGCAUCCAUGGUCGGGGAGAGAGUGUUAUUCCGUGCGUCACCCAUGAAGGGUAUAAUGAGAUUUGGAAAGAAGGGCAAGUUGAGCCCUAGGUACAUCAGGCCUUUUGAGAUUCUCCCAAGAGUGGGUGAGGUGGCUUACAAGCUCGUAUUGCCACCCAGUUUAUCGGUAUUCAACGUGUCCAUGCUCCGGAAGUAUUACGUUGAUCCAUCCCGCAUAUUAGAUUUUAGCACUGUCUAGUUGGACUAGGAUUUGACCUACGAUGAGGAGCCAAUAGUUAUUCUAGAGCCUUAGGUUCGUUAGUUGAGAUCGAAUAGUUAUCCUUCAGUUCGAGUACAGUGGAGAGGUCAGCCCAUCGAGGCAGUUACGUAGGAGUCCGAAACGGACAUGCAGAGUAGAUAUCCUCACCUUUUUCCCAGCUCAGGUACUUUUCUACGUCCGUUCGAGGACGAAAGAUUGUUUUAGAGGUGGAGAAUGUGAUGACCCGAUAGGUCAUCUUAUGAUUUAAAACUAAACUCUAUGUUUCGAGGCCUUAAAAAUCUCAUUUUAUCCCUCAAUUUGUGUGCACAGUCCGGAUGUAUUUCCGAAAAGCUUUUGUGUUGAAACUUGAUAAAAAUAAGAAUUUUUGAUUAAAAACUUCAUUUGAGUUGACUUCGAUCAACAUUUUUAGUAAACGAGCCUAGAUUCGUGCUUUGAUAGUCCCGGUGGAUCCGUAUCGAAAUAUGAGACCUGGACGUAUGCCCGGAAUCGGAUUCGGAGGUCCCUAGUCUGAGUUAUGAAUUUUUGUUAAAAAUUGAAAUCUAAAAAAAUAUUGUUUUUUAAGAAAAGUAUUGAUGUUUGAUCUUGUUGGUAUCGGGUCCGUAUUUUGGUCAGAGCCCUAUAUAGGUUCAAUAUAAUAUUUAAGAUGUGUCUGUGAAAUUUUGUGAGAAACGGAGUUAGUUUGACGUGAUUCGGACAUCUGAUUGUGAAAAUAGGAAUUUCAAAGUGUUCUUGAGAAUUUCAUUUGAUUUGGUGCUAAAUUCUUGGGUUCAACUUUUAAGUGUUAUUUUUAUGCGAUUUGAUCGCAGGAGCAAGUUCGUAUGAUGUUUUCAGACUUGUUUACAUGUUUGGUUUGGAGCCCCGAGGGGUCGGGUGAGUUUCGGAUAGACUACAGAGUGAUUUGAACUUGAAAAAAAAUUGCUGGUGUAACUGAGGUUGUUGCAGGCCUCCGAUCUUGCAAUUACGAGAUCAGGCCUCGCAAUUACGACCUCUGAGGGGUUGGCAUUUGCGAGCUUCUCAUCACAAAUGCGACAUACAGUCUUCACAUUUGUGAAAUAAAGCUGGGAGGGGCAGUGAUCGCAAAUGCGACCAUUUUGUCGUAUUUGCGGAGAUUGAAGUUUGCAAUUGCAAACUUAUCUUCGUAAUUGCGAAGCAGCAGAGAUGUGAAGGACCUCGCAUUUGCGAAGCUCAGGUUGCAAAUGCGAUAUCUGCAGCUGAUGAAAAGGGACUUAGACGGGAUUUUUCAUUCAUUCUUCAAAUUUUCAAAACCUAAAAUACAAGAGGCGAUUUUCCAAAGAUCUUUUCUUCCCCAAAACUUUUGUAGGUGAUUCUAACUCAUUUUCUUUCAAUCUUUCAUUACAUUCCACAAAUCUUCAACCUAAAAUCUAAAGUUUUCAUGAUGAAAUUGAGGAUUUUUAGAUAGAAAUUAGGGAUUUGAUAAAUUGGGGACUUAGACCUCAAAUUGAGGUCGGAUUUCAAAACCAAUUACAUGUUCGGGAUCGAGGGUGAAUGGGUAAUCAUGUUUUGGUCUGAAUUUCGAGUUUGGACCAAACGGGCCCGAGUGUUGACUUUUGUUGACUUUUUCAAUAAUGGCAUAAAUUGAAUUCUUAUCGAUCGUAUGUGAUUUCUAAGGCUUAUUUUGAAAUGUUUAGUUGGUAAUUUGCUAGAUAUUGUUGGUUCGGAUGCGUGUUUGAAAGGCAAAAUUGUAAUUGAGCUUUGAGUGGCCUUUGGAGCGAGGUAAGUGUUGUUUCUAACCUUGACUUGACGGAAUUAAGAACCCUCAAGCUUUGUGUUAUGUGAAUUCCAUGUGAGCGGCGCAUAUGUAAGGUGACGAGUGCUUAUACGCCGCCGAAUUAUUUGUUUUCUCUGUUUUAUCACUUUUCCUUAAUUAUUUUCCCUUCUAUCUUUACUGUUACAUGCUCUAAAUGCUUUCCAUGCUUAAUUGCUACGUGUUAAUCAAUAUUUUCUUCUGUUAACCAUGUUAGCUCUUUUCACUCUUUCCCUUAUUCCCUGCUAUUUUUUUAAUUCGACUUGUUUGUACCUUCUAACUAUAAAUUGUUGGUUUGGUCUCGGUGUGUAGUAUUAUUUGUGUAGAUUCUAUAUUGAACAAGGUUCUUUUUCUUGGUUCAGUUUGACAUUCAUUUAUCGUAAAGGCCUUGUGAUUUAGCCGGUUGAUUUGAUUGUGUACAUUGACUGUUUGACACUAAUAUGGUGGCAUCGGGUUGCAUGCCGCAACAGGUUGUAAUAAAGGAGGAUUGAUAUGGUAGAAUAAGGAUGAAUAUGUAUGCACAGUGAGAUCGGGUUGCACGCCACAAUAGGUGAAAUACGGGUGGAUUGAUAUGGUAAAAUAAGGGUGAAUUAUGAUAUUGAUAUUGAUAUAUGGUGGGAUUGGAUUGCGCGCCGCAACAAACACACACACACACACACACACAUAUAUAUAUAUAUAUAUUAUUUACUGUUAUUGAUAUUUUUAUGGUAGAAUAAGGGAGGAUUAUGCGUUGUCUUGUGGGAUCAGGUUGCGCGCCGCAACAACCUAUAUGUUUCUACUUCUUGAGCUACGUUGUUUUUCGGUAUUUUUAUUUGAGCUGGUAGAAAUUGGUAAUUUUGGACGACACUGGUUUAUUUUUGAGGCUGUGGUUAUAAUUUUUUUUGGUUGUUUAAUUCUAUACCGUAUUUUAAUUAUUCUGUCAUUAUUAUAGACUACGUACAGGUUUUAGCGUAGGUGACCCACCUUAGCCUCGUCACUACUUUGUUGAGGUUGGGAUCGGCACUUACCAGUACAUGGAGUCGGUUGUGCUGAUACUGCACUCUGCACACUGUGCAGAUUUUUGAGACGGUCCCAACGGAGGUUACUAGCGAGCUCGGUUCGGACAUUUACGGAGACUUGAGGUACGACUGUUCAGCUCCUGCAGCUCCUAGAGUCUCCAUCCUCUUUUCUUUUAGCUGUACAACUUCAUUCAGACAACUUUGUACUUAUUUCAAACCUUUAUGUGUAUUACUUUAAAAGCUCGUGCACUUGUGACACCAGGUUCAGUGAAUUGUAAUAGACGUUGGUUGUUUAGCUUCCACGUUUAUACUUAGAACUUAUCUGUUAUUUCAGUUCAUUAUUAUUGUUAUCGUUUAAGCUGCUAAAAAAGUAAAUUGUUCUAACAUUGGCUUGCCUAGCAUGUAAAAUGUUAGGCGCCAUUUCGAUCCUGACGGUGGAAUUUUCGGGUCGUGACAUCAAACGGCUAUAAUGUGUAGUUUUCCCGUGCAGCAACUCACCUAUUUCCUCUAAUUCCUCCCGACAUUGACACUGGUAAUUUGGAAUGCUUAAUUUAACUCCAACUAAAUUUCCAUAUUUAUUAUUGGAAAUUAUAAGUUAAUAAAUUUUUGGAAAUACCAAUACUAUUGUUGGCAUUAUUUAUUCUUUUAAUUAAUAAAAGUUGCUAACAUAUUAGUUGGACAAAAAUAUACUCUUGAUGAGAUUUAAGACCUAGGACCUUGUCACAAGGUUUCAAUUUUAACCUCUACGAUGCCCUAAUUGAUAAUUAUUUAUAAGUUUGUAAAAAAUGUGUUUUUGCUAAAUUGAAAAUAUCUCGGGAGGUAGGUUUUGUAUGGGUCAAAGUCUGAUCAAAGAAAUUCUAUUUAAGGCAGAGCAACCAAGAAGCAACUAAGCCGAAGUCGCGUGUAGGAAGUGAUAUGCCGGCAAGUGAUUUAGCUACGGUCGAGGUCGGGCACUCGAAG
rnacentral:lncRNA from 1 species